rnacentral:rRNA from 1 species
CCUUUGUGAACUUAUACCUUACUGUUGCCUCGGCGCAGGCCGGCCUCACUGAGGCCCCUCGGAAACGAGGAGCAGCCCGCCGGCGGCCAACCAAACUCUUGUUUCUUAGUGAAUCUCUGAGUAAAAAACAUAAAUGAAUCAAAACUUUCAACAACGGAUCUCUUGGUUCUGGCAUCGAUGAAGAACGCAGCGAAAUGCGAUAAGUAAUGUGAAUUGCAGAAUUCAGUGAAUCAUCGAAUCUUUGAACGCACAUUGCGCCCUCUGGUAUUCCGGAGGGCAUGCCUGUUCGAGCGUCAUUUCAACCCUCAAGCAUUGCUUGGUGUUGGGGCACCGCCUGUAAAAGGGCGGGCCCUGAAAUCUAGUGGCGAGCUCGCCAGGACCCCGAGCGUAGUAAUUAUAUUUCGUUCUGGAAGGCCCUGGCGGUGCCCUGCCGUUAAACCCCCAACUUCUGAAAAUUUGACCUCGGAUCAGGUAGGAAUACCCGCUGAACUUAAGCAUAUCAAUA